GGUGACGAAGCGACGCCGCGUGUGGGAUGAAGGCCUUCGGGUUGUAAACCACUGUCGGGAGUUAAGAAUUGUAGGAAUGCUAAUAGUAUUUCUACUUGACUAAGGCUCCGGAGGAAGCCACGGCUAACUCUGUGCCAGCAGCCGCGGUAAUACAGAGGCGGCAAGCGUUGUUCGGAAUUAUUGGGCGUAAAGAGCAUGUAGGCGGCUAUGUAAGUCGGUUGUGAAAGCCUUCCGCUUAACGGAAGAAUGGCGGUCGAAACUGCAUGGCUUGAGUGCGGGAGGGGAGAGUGGAACUUCUGGUGGAGCGGUGAAAUGCGUAGAUAUCAGAAGGAACGUCGGCGGCGAAAGCGACUCUCUAGACCGUAACUGACGCUGAGUGUGCGAAAGCUAGGGGAGCAAACGGGAUUAGAUACCCCGGUAGUCCUAGCCGUAAACGAUGGGCACUAAGUAGAGGGGU
rnacentral:rRNA from 1 species